rnacentral:tRNA from 1 species
GCGCCUAUAGCUCAGCCUGGUAGAGCAGUUGCCUUUUAAGCAAACGGUCGCAGGUUCGAAUCCUGCUGGGCGCACCA